GACGAACGCUGGCGGCGUGCUUAACACAUGCGAGUCGAACGGAAAGGCCCUGCUUUUGUGGGGUGCUCGAGUGGCGAACGGGUGAGUAACACGUGAGUAACCUGCCCUUGACUUUGGGAUAACUUCAGGAAACUGGGGCUAAUACCGGAUAGGAGCUCCUGCUGCAUGGUGGGGGAUGGAAAGUUUCGGCGGUUGGGGAUGGACUCGCGGCUUAUCAGCUUGUUGGUGGGGUAGUGGCUUACCAAGGCUUUGACGGGUAGCCGGCCUGAGAGGGUGACCGGCCACAUUGGGACUGAGAUACGGACCAGACUCCUACGGGAGGCAGCAGUGGAGAGUAUUGCACAAUGGGCGGAAGCCUGAUGCAGCAACGCCGCGUGCGGGAUGACGGCCUUCUGGUUGUAAACCGCUUUCGCCUGUGACAAAGCGUGAGUGACGGUAAUGGGUAAAGAAGCACCGGCUAACUACGUG
rnacentral:rRNA from 1 species